rnacentral:rRNA from 1 species
AUGGACCCAAGCUCCGAGAUCACGUACGACGUGCCCGGGUUCAUACGCAUCCACAAGAGCGGCCGCGUGGAGCGCUUGCAAGGCACCGAGACCGUCCCGCCCUCCCCCUCCGGUGACCUCGCCAACGGCGUCGCCUCCAAGGACGUCGUGCUUGACCCGGCGGCCAGCGCCUCCGCUCGCCUCUACCUCCCCGCCGCCGCCGCGGCGGAGCCGGGAAGGAAGUUCCCCGUCGUCGUCUACCUCCAUGGCGGCGCAUUCGUUGCUCACACAGUGGCCUCACCGAUCUACCACAAGUACGCCGCCUCCCUCGCCGCUGCCGCGCCCGCAGUCGUCGUCUCCGUCGACUACCGUCUCGCUCCGGAGCACCCCCUCCCGGCCGCCUACGACGACGCCUUCGCGACCCUCAAGGCGGUCGUCGCCGCGUGCCGCCCGGACGGCGCCGAGCCCUGGCUCGCCGCGCACGGCGACGUCUCCCGCGUCGUCCUCGCCGGGCUACGGGACAAGGUCAGCGGCGUCGCGCUCUUGCAUUCCUACUUCUGGGGGACUGAACCGGUGGGCGGCGAGUCCCCGGACGCCGCCUUCUUCUACCCCGGCGACACGGAGCGCGUGUGGGAUGUGGCCUGUGGUGACAAGUUCGGCCGUGAUCACCCGUACAUCAACCCGGCAGCGUCGCCGGAGGAGUGGCGCCAGCUCGGGUCCGGCCGCAUGCUGGUCACCACGGCGGAGUUGUGCUGGUUCGUGGAGAGGGCGCGCGCGUACGCGAAGGGGAUGAAGGCGUGCGGGUGGGCCGGCGAGCUCGAGUUCUACGAGACCAGGGGCAAGAAGCACACCUACUUCCUGUUCCGUCCCGACUGCGACGAUGCCGCCAAGGAGCUCGCCGUCGUGGCCGACUUCGUCAGGCGCUGCUGA